rnacentral:rRNA from 1 species
UACGUAGGGUGCGAGCGUUGUCCGGAAUUACUGGGCGUAAAGAGCUCGUAGGCGGUUUGUCGCGUCGGGAGUGAAAACCUCGGGCUUAACUCGGGGCUUGCUUUCGAUACGGGCAGACUGGAGGUAUGCAGGGGAGAACGGAAUUCCUGGUGUAGCGGUGAAAUGCGCAGAUAUCAGGAGGAACACCGGUGGCGAAGGCGGUUCUCUGGGCAUUACCUGACGCUGAGGAGCGAAAGUGUGGGGAGCGAACAGG